UACGGAGGGUGCAAGCGUCAAUCGGAUUUACUGGGCGUAAAGGGCGCGUAGGUGGUUGUUUAAGUGAGAUGUGAAAUCCCCGGGCUUAACCUGGGACGUGCAUCUUAGACUGGACAACUGGAGUGUAGUAGAGGGUAGUGGAAUUUCCGGUGUAGCGGUGAAAUGCGUAGAUAUCGGAAGGAACACCAGUGGCGAAGGCGGCUACCUGGACUAACACUGACACUGAGGCGCGAGAGCGUGGGGAGCAAACAGG
rnacentral:rRNA from 1 species